CCUACGGGAGGCAGCAGUGGGGAAUUUUGGACAAUGGGCGCAAGCCUGAUCCAGCAAUGCCGCGUGAGUGAAGAAGGCCUUCGGGUUGUAAAGCUCUUUUGUCAGGGAAGAAACGGUGGUUCCUAAUACGGACUACUAAUGACGGUACCUGAAGAAUAAGCACCGGCUAACUACGUGCCAGCAGCCGCGGUAAUACGUAGGGUGCAAGCGUUAAUCGGAAUUACUGGGCGUAAAGCGUGCGCAGGCGGUUAUAUAAGUCAGAUGUGAAAUCCCCGGGCUCAACCUGGGAACUGCAUUUGAGACUGUAUGGCUAGAGUGUGUCAGAGGGGGGUUAGAAUUCCACGUGUAGCAGUGAAAUGCGUAGAUAUGUGGAGGAAUACCGAUGGCGAAGGCAGCCCCCUGGGAUAACACUGACGCUCAUGCACGAAAGCGUGGGGAGCAAACAGGAUUAGAUGCCCUGGUAGUCCACGCCCUAAACGAUGUCUACUAGUUGUCGGACUUAAUUGUNUGUACGCGNGCGACGCGUGAGAGACGCCGUGGGUAGGUACGGUUCGCGAGAGUUAAACGUAACAANAGAGUAGACGGCGNGAGACGNGCGACGGACGACGACGAGGGAGGAGG
rnacentral:rRNA from 1 species